CCUACGGGUGGCAGCAGUAGGGAAUAUUGCUCAAUGGGGGAAACCCUGAAGCAGCAACGCCGCGUGGAGGAUGAAGGUUUUCGGAUUGUAAACUUCUUUUGUUAGAGAAGAUAAUGACGGUAUCUAACGAAUAAGCACCGGCUAAAUCCGUUCCAGCAGCCGCGGUAAUACGGCGGGUGCAAGCGUUACUCGGAAUCACUGGGCGUAAAGAGCGCGUAGGCGGGAUAGCAAGUCAGAUGUGAAAUCCUAUGGCUUAACCAUAGAACUGCAUUUGAAACUGUUAUUCUAGAGUAUGGGAGAGGUAGGUGGAAUUCUUGGUGUAGGGGUAAAAUGCGUAGAGAUCAAGAGGAAUACUGAUUGCGAAGGCGACCUGCUAGAACAUAACUGGCGCUGAUGCGCGAAAGCGUGGGGAGCAAACAGGAUUAGAUACCCCGGUAGUC
rnacentral:rRNA from 1 species